rnacentral:rRNA from 1 species
UACGGAGGGGGCUAGCGUUGUUCGGAAUUACUGGGCGUAAAGCGCACGUAGGCGGCUUUGUAAGUUAGAGGUGAAAGCCCGGGGCUCAACUCCGGAAUUGCCUUUAAGAACUGCAUCGCUAGAAUUGUGGAGAGGUAAGUGGAAUUCCGAGUGUAGAGGUGAAAUUCGUAGAUAUUCGGAAGAACACCAGUGGCGAAGGCGACUUACUGGACACAUAUUGACGCUGAGGUGCGAAAGCGUGGGGAGCAACAGGG